rnacentral:lncRNA from 1 species
UCGAUUCGUGAGAGUAGAGGCUGGAGAAAGAAAGACAACCUUCGAUUUGGAGUUAGGGUUCGUGAGGGUAGAGGACGACUGCGCGAGUGAGAGAGAGAGGACGACUGCGCGAGUGAGAGAGAGAGAACGACUGCUGAGAUAAGGCGGUGGUGGUGUGUUGAUUAAAGGACGGCGCUGAGGGUUCAAUCUCAUCGCCGGUGGAGGAC